GGUCGGGUGGCCGAGUGUAAGGCGAGGGUUCGCAAGACCCUUUACGGUGGUUCGAAUCCACCCCCGACCU
rnacentral:tRNA from 1 species